rnacentral:rRNA from 1 species
UACAGAGGGUGCAAGCGUUGUUCGGAAUUAUUGGGCGUAAAGGGCGCGUAGGCGGCACUGUUAGUCAGGCGUGAAAGUCCUGGGCUCAACCUGGGAACUGCGCUUGAUACGGCAGAGCUAGAGGAUGGAAGAGGGUCGCGGAAUUCCCAGUGUAGAGGUGAAAUUCGUAGAUAUUGGGAAGAACACCGGUGGCGAAGGCGGCGACCUGGUCCAUUACUGACGCUGAGGCGCGACAGCGUGGGGAGCAAACAGG